rnacentral:rRNA from 1 species
GACGUAGGAUGCAAGCGUUGUCCGGAUUUAUUGGGCGUAAAGAGUUCGUAGGCGGUUCGUUAAGUCUGAUGUUAAAGAUCGGGGCUCAACCCUGGGAGUGCAUUGGAUACUGGCGGACUGGAGUGUGGUAGAGGCUAGUGGAAUUCCCAGUGUAGCGGUGAAAUGCGUAGAGAUCGGGAGGAAGGCCGGUGGCGAAGGCGGCGCUCUGGAACAUUUCUGACGCUGAGGCUCGAAAGCGUGGGGAGCAAACAGG